AAUUGUACGCCAUGAGCGAGAGGACCGUGGCCAUGACGAGACUCGGCGGCUCCGACUGCGGAUCUGCGGUGCAGACGAAGAUGUCCACGCAGGGCAGCCGGUCUCCAUACCUGCUCCAGAUUGUUCGUUAUGUGGGGGGACUGCCUGGUCCAUCUGGAGAACGCAAAAUAAGAUGGCAAUUGAGAAGAUAUUUCCUAACAAUCCUAUUGACGCCAUAAACUCUGGUGUACGUAUCUUCAGUACAGAAAUGGCGGAUACUGUUUGAAACGGGCUGAUGAAGAGAAGCUUACCGAAGGUCACCAGUGUUUUUUUUUCGCGAUCGUGCCUGAGCACGUUUUUCAUUAAGAGAGAGAAGAAAAAAAAAUACAGAAGAGCCGGAGCCCGGAGGUGGUCACCAGCGUCUCAGGGCCGUGUUACCCGCUAGUUACUUCUACUUAUACGUACCCUCGUACCCAGCUUCAGUGAGCUACUAUAGUUAACACAAACAGCAGAUUAUCUGUAGAACCUUGAUGAAGACAUCUGCUUUAUGAAGAUUAAUUAGGAACGUGCACAUAUUGAUAGAUAUUGAUAUAGACAAAGUGCAUGCAUGUUAGGUGCAAACAGUAUGUGCCGUAUACAAAUCUGGCGGUUUAUUUCGGUUUAUCUUAUUUUGAAUUA